rnacentral:rRNA from 1 species
GCCAGCCCGCUCAAGAAACUUAAAUGAAUUGACGGGGCCCGCACAAGCGGUGGAGUAUGUGGUUUAAUUCGAUGCAACGCGAAGAACCUUACCUGGUCUUGACAUCCCGGAGACCCUUAGGAAACUAGGGGGUGCUUCCAUCUGGAAGAAUCUGGAGACAGGUGCUGCAUGGCUGUCGUCAGCUCGUGUCGUGAGAUGUUGGGUUAAGUCCCGCAACGAGCGCAACCCUUGCCUUUAGUUGCCAGCAGUUCGGCUGGGCACUCUAAAGGGACUGCCGGUGUUAAACCGGAGGAAGGUGGGGAUGACGUCAAGUCCUCAUGGCCUUUAUGACCAGGGCUACACACGUACUACAAUGGCCGAUACAAAGGGCAGCGACACUGCGAGGUGAAGCCAAUCCCGUAAAAUCGGUCUCAGUCCGGAUUGGAGUCUGCAACUCGACUCCAUGAAGUUGGAAUCGCUAGUAAUCGUGGAUCAGCAUGCCACGGUGAAUACGUUCCCGGGCCUU